rnacentral:rRNA from 1 species
UACGGAGGGUGCAAGCGUUAUCCGGAUUCAUUGGGUUUUAAAGGGUGCGUAGGCUGAUAGAUAAGUCAGUGGUGAAAUCUUGCGGCUUAACCGUAAAACUGCCAUUGAUACUGUUUAUCUAGAGUACAUAUGAGGUAGACGGAAUAUAGUAUGUAGCGGUGAAAUGCAUAGAUAUACUAUAGAACACCGAUUGCGAAGGCAGCUUACUAAAUUGUUACUGACGCUGAGGCACGAAAGCGUGGGGAGCGAACAGG